rnacentral:rRNA from 1 species
UACGGAGGGGGGCUAGCGUUGUUCGGAAUUACUGGGCGUAAAGCGCACGUAGGCGGCUUUGUAAGUUAGAGGUGAAAGCCCGGGGCUCAACUCCGGAAUUGCCUUUUAAGACUGCAUCGCUAGAAUUGUGGAGAGGUAAGUGGAAUUCCGAGUGUAGAGGUGAAAUUCGUAGAUAUUCGGAAGAACACCAGUGGCGAAGGCGACUUACUGGACACAUAUUGACGCUGAGGUGCGAAAGCGUGGGGAGCAAACAGG